rnacentral:lncRNA from 1 species
UUUUUGUCAGCACAAACUCAACGACCGCCUUGGAAUGAUGCGUCAUGUAACAACUCCUGAUUUUAAACUUCGGACUGCACUUCCAUCAGCUUCCCAUUGUUCCUCAGUUCUCACCUCCCACAACCUUAAACAGUCACCAUGGCGGCGGUGGCACCAUGCCCCGCCACCCAAACUUGAGAUCUGAAGCAAAAGUCAAGUCUCAUAUCCCAAUCUGAAGUAGAGACGCAAAAAUGCGGACAUUAACAGCGACAGCGGCGUGAAGAUGCGGAUCCGAAGCGGAGAUGCGAACGAAGACGUAGAUCUGAAGCGGAGAUGUGAGUGAAGACACAGAUGACAGAUCCGAAGCAGAGAUGCAAAACUGAAGCGAAAGUUAAUCCCGCCGCUCACACCCUCGUCGUCAACGCAUCUGUUUCCGUUAUUUUGCUUCCUCUUUUCUCUUGUUGCAGGUUGUUGUGGUUAUAUUUGUCUUGGCAAUUUGUUUUUUGAGUUGAAAAGCUAGGAAGAAGCAAUAUUUUGUAAAGAUACAUUUUUCUUUACUGAUUUUGUAAAGAUACAUCGAUGUUAUUUUUUACUUUUUUAAAAAAAUUAUUGAUUUUGUUUCAUUGGAUUUGGUUAUUUCUGUGAUGAAAUUUGAUGUUCCAAAUCCUGAAUAUAUAUAUUUUUUAUUUCUUUCACCAAGAUAUUAUUUGGGUCAAUUGGAGAUGAAUUUUGAAGCAAACAUUGAAAUAGUCAUCACUUGAAAAUGUGAAAAUGUGUGGAUGAAGUCGGAGAAGGUGGUGGCAAGGUAGUGC